rnacentral:rRNA from 1 species
AGUGAACGCUGGCGGUAGGCCUAACACAUGCAAGUCGAACGGCAGCACAGUAAGAGCUUGCUCUUACGGGUGGCGAGUGGCGGACGGGUGAGGAAUACAUCGGAAUCUACUUUUUCGUGGGGGAUGACGUAGGGAAACUUACGCUAAUACCGCAUACGACCUACGGGUGAAAGCAGGGGAUCUUCGGACCUUGCGCUAUUGAAUGAGCCGAUGUCGGAUUAGCUAGUUGGCGGGGUAAAGGCCCACCAAGGCGACGAUCCGUAGCUGGUCUGAGAGGAUGAUCAGCCACACUGGAACUGAGACACGGUCCAGACUCCUACGGGAGGCAGCAGUGGGGAAUAUUGGACAAUGGGCGCAAGCCUGAUCCAGCCAUACCGCGUGGGUGAAGAAGGCCUUCGGGUUGUAAAGCCCUUUUGUUGGGAAAGAAAAGCAGCAGGUUAAUACCCCGCUGUUCUGACGGUACCCAAAGAAUAAGCACCGGCUAACUUCGUG